UCCCGUACCUGCAAACCUGGGGGUUAAGGGAAUGGGGUGAGCUACUAGAGCCCAGUGAGCAGAAUAGUAAAACAUUAUAUUAAAAUUCAUGCUUUCAUGAAAUGCAUCACAUCACAAACAAAUCACAUUAAGGAUGAACUUGUCACCAAUAGCCCUCUACAUAUCCAAUAGUGCCAAAACGUAGAAUGGGUCCUGGUCUUUCCCUUACAUAACAUAUCAUAACAUUCCAAUCUGCCAGGGAC
rnacentral:lncRNA from 1 species